AGGGGUGUAGUUCAAUGGUUAGAGCACCGGUCUCCAAAACCGGUAAUGGGGGUUCGAGUCCCUCCACCCCUGCCA
rnacentral:tRNA from 1 species